rnacentral:rRNA from 1 species
GAUGAACGCUGGCGGCGUGCCUAAUACAUGCAAGUCGAGCGAACGGACGAGAAGCUUGCUUCUCUGAUGUUAGCGGCGGACGGGUGAGUAACACGUGGAUAACCUACCUAUAAGACUGGGAUAACUUCGGGAAACCGGAGCUAAUACCGGAUAAUAUUUUGAACCGCAUGGUUCAAAAGUGAAAGACGGUCUUGCUGUCACUUAUAGAUGGAUCCGCGCUGCAUGAGCUAGUUGGUAAGGUAACGGCUUACCAAGGCAACGAUGCAUAGCCGACCUGAGAGGGUGAUCGGCCACACUGGAACUGAGACACGGUCCAGACUCCUACGGGAGGCAGCAGUAGGGAAUCUGACGCAAUGGGCGAAAGCCUGACGGAGCAACGCCGCGUGAGUGAUGAAGGUCUUCGGAUCGUAAAACUCUGUUAUUAGGGAAGAACAUAUGUGUAAGUAACUGUGCACAUCUUGACGGUACCUAAUCAGAAAGCCACGGCUAACUACGUG